AUACUCUAAAUAUAAGCUAUUUGGAU
rnacentral:tRNA from 1 species